GGGUUCCCUGGGAGCGUCCAGUCAGGCCAUGGGCCAGAACUGCCCUUCCCUUGUUGCUGCCUCCCAGAUCCACGUGGACUUGACUCAUUUUAGAAGCUGCUCACCCCAUUGAUGUUAUAACCAGGGACUGCAUACAUCACAAUUGGCAGGACCUGCUCAUGUUUGGCAAAAUGGAAGCGUUCUGGAAGUUCCUUCUUCUUAUAGACAUUGAGGGGAGGGUGUGCGUGCUUCAGCGCUUGGUCAACAGCUUCCUCCUGCCCGGGCUUGGGCAGGAGCACCCCAAAGCUGCCGUAGUCCACGAUAUCACACUUGACCAAGUCCCUGAAGCUGAUGUAGUUGCUCAGGAGGAUCUCGGUGACAUUGGGCUUCUUUUUCACGAUGGUCAUGCCGUGGUCUGAUGUGAUGAUGACGUUGAGGUGCAGGGUCAAGCCGUGCCUCUGGAUGGCUUCCAACAGGUACCCGAUGGGUCUGUCGAUGGGCCGAAUCCUCACCCUCCUGUCCUCUGUCUUGGGCCUGAAGCGGUGCCCCAUGUCAUCAGGCUCCCUGCAGUACAGAGUCACGAAGUCAAGGUCCGCCUUGGUGAACCAGUUCAUGAUGAUCUCGAUGUUCUCCUGCUCUUCUGCCUCAUUGUCCUUCGGGUGAGGGUAUGACUCCACCAGGGACCGCCAGCCGGCCUCCCCUUCGUACUUGGCACCUCCCUGGGAUAGUGGAAUGAUGCCCUUUCCCUCCCCUGCAAGGCCAAGAAGAGAAGACUGUCAGGGCCAUUUCUCCCAUCUUUCUCUUAUUGUGCAAAGCCCAGUGUGCCAGCCUCCCUGCCCCGGGCCAGAGGCAUCAGAAACACGUGGGCUGUGGACGGAAUUGGGUGGGGCUGGGCUUCCUUCCUGGCAUCACCAGGAUCUCAUGGAAUCUAAAACACUCCUAGUUGUGAGACGUGUCUUUAUUUUACAUACUCCUGUGAAGAAAAAUGCUGCCAAUGACAGCAGGACGCGCCAGUGAUUGUAGGAUGCAUUUCGAUUCUGGACGGCAAAAUGAACAAAAAGUGCCUUGGGAUGGAGGAAGAAUGGUACUAAGUUGGCGAUGGAGGCAGAGGAGGACAAGACACAGAAAAAAGGAGGAGAUGGACCAAGGAGGCAGAGGGACCAAGGAAGCAGAGGGGCGUGAUGCAGCCACAAGCCCAGGAGUGCUGGCAGCCACCAGACAUGGAAGAAGCAAAGACAGAUUCUCCCCUAGAGCCUCGAGAGGGAAUAUGGACCCCUGACACCUUGAUUUUGGACUUCUGGCCUCCAGACUUUCUGUUGCUCUAAGCAUCCUAUGGCACUUUGUGACAACAGCUGCAGGGAACAAAUACACCUGUGCCCUCAGUCUCAGGUGGUUCCAGCUACUCCUCUCACUCCAGGCCUUGGAAUCCCGAGCAGUCAUGACCUUUUUGCUCCAUUGCCCUGGUGUUUCGGGCUGACCCUUCCUCUUGUGUGAUGCGUGGACCUGCAGCAUUGGCAUCCACUGGGGGCUCAUUGGAAAUGUAGAUUCUCAGGCCCCACCCCAGACCCACUGAAACACAGUCUGCAUUUUAACCAGAUCCCCAGGUGAUUCACGAACACAUUCAAAUUUGAGAAGCACCAGUGGAAGCUCUCAGGUGGCAACUAGAGCAUUUCUCCUCCCGCAAGUAUCCUAGUUUCUUCAUGUCAGUUCUGUUAAAUAUGGUGGGGAGAUUUUGUAAAAAGAAACCCAACCCUUAGCUUAGAACUGCACAUUGAUGUGUUAUGGAUGCAAUGGCGCGAUGUCUGAACUUUGCUGUAAAAGAUUCAAGGAGGGAGGGAAGGAGGAAAAGAAGGAAGGCAGGGAGGAAGGAGAAGGCUUUGGGUGGGGACAGUAGAAUAAGACUGGUAAAACGUGAACAGGUUCUUGCAGCUCCGUGUUGGGUAGAGGGGGCUUCACUGCGCAGUUUUCUCUGCUUUUUCUGCAUGUUGGAAAUUUCCAUAAUGAAAUGUUAGGAAACAUCCUGGUUUCCCAGCCUUCCUUAUGUUUAGUUUUUUUCCAUGGCUCUGUUUUUUUCUCUCCUCAUGGUAAUGGCUGGUGCUGGAGAGACAUCUUUUCUGUCUCGGCUUGUGCUUUUCUUUGCUCUGUUUGUUCAUGUUUGUGGCUUUCUUGGCUUCUGGGACUUUUUCAGCAGAGAGUUAUUGCUGGGGGAGUAGGAUGGGAGCUGAUUAAGGUUUAUGGCCUUGUCUAACUGGGUUUCCAACAACAUCUGCUAGCCUUGUAUUGUUACUGGCAGCAGGAAUUUAAUUUCCCUUCUCUUUCUCUACUCUCUCACCUCUUUUAGACUUUGUCCACUGGCCAGAGUAUCACGUUUGGAAGCUUUGGCUCUCUGAUUUACAUGUGAUUUGCAUAUUACAAUCUAGUCCAGGGAUUCCAAUUAGGGGGUGAGUUUACCUCCAAAGGAACAUGGGGAACUGUCUGGAGACAUUUUUGGUUGGCUCGACUAGGAGAGGGAUGCUGCUGGCAUCUAGUGAGUAGAAGCUGGGGAUACUGCUAAACACUUUAUAAUGCACAGGGCAGCCUCCCCGCCCCCACCCUGGUCCCCAAGACAAAGAGUGAUCUGGCCCCAAAAGUCAACGGUGGGACAUAGAGACAGCCCGAUCUAGUCUUAAAGAUCAUCCAAGUGCACUUGGCCACACUUUCUUUGCUUCUGUCCCAUGAAGGAGAGGUGGAUUCAUGGCUUAUGACAACAUCAAAAGGAAAGUUUACUUCUUAUAGGUUGAUUUUGGCAGCGAAUGCAAGGGAUGGCUCAUUUGUGUAGGUUGUGCCCUGCACACCUCCAGGGGGCACCACCCACAAAAUAUUCAUGAAAACAACCCUCUCAGAAUUGCCUACACAGCUCUAAGUGGUUGUUCUGGUUUUGGGGUUGCCCUAGGGGUUCUGGAACUGGGAGAGACUUUAUAUCUGGCUCCCAGGGGCCAUGAGCAUGCCAUCGAGGGUCCUUUACAGAAGGGAGGAAAAGUGGAACUGUGAGGACCCCACUUGCAUUAUUCUCGACCAUCAUCUCAUUAUGGAGUUUCUCCUUUUCACCCCUGGGCCAUGGCCUUUGGACUAGAUCUAAAAUUGUCAGAUUAUAAUAUCACAGUUUUGUUUGAAAUAUGGUGGUGAUAGCUUCUUAUUUUCCAUCAGUUCCUUGGGGGAGGAAAUACAUGCUGUUGCCAUAAGACUUUCUAUCCACCCACUCUUUGCUUGGCGGGAUUUCCUUAGUUUCACCAGCAUAAUUUAUUCUCGCUGGCCCUCAAUCACUUUGCAAUAAAAACUGAGAUUGCAAAAAUGUUCAUUGUCAUUACCAGUGAUGGAGCAGUAAGUACAGGCUUCUGGAGAGAGAGGGAGGAAAUCAGGUGAUUUAAAAUAGCAGAAUGAGCUGCUCACCCCCAGAGAAUGGCUUUUCAUUUUGGCAGGAUCUGAGGGGAAUUACAACAGAGUUCAGGGGCACGGAGGGACAGGGCUGGGAGGUAUGGUCACCCAUUGCAUUGGGAGCCUGUGCCCUGUGGGCAGCCCCAUGGAUGGAGCUUUGAUUUCUUGGGCCUCAGUACUGGGUCACUGGCUGCAAACCCAUCAUCACACUGUUGGGCCCAGGCCGGAUGGUAGACCACUGAGGUUUCUGCCAGGCCUCUUCCCUUACUCCUCCCUCUGAUGCUAGUCUUGACUCCCCCCUGGGGGCCCACCCCCUCCAUGGGUGACAUGGUUUGUGUGGGGCUUGCUAUUGCUCGCCUUGACCUGGAGGUGGGCGUAGGGGCCCAGCUUGGGUGGUCACCAUCAUUCCAUCCCCCUGGCCACGGAGAUUGGUUGUGAGAAGCAAACUGGCCCAGUGAAAGUCAAUCUCGGUCACUCUUAGGAAAGAGAAGUAGACAGAAGAAUUGGAAGAAGUAAAGAGAGAGCUCCAUCAUUCUGAUGACAUAGUUUGGGGAUCUGGAUGUAGCCAUGCCUAUAGCUUUGGGUUAAUUAUAUGUUACAGUUUCAGUCACGCUCCUCACAAAAGAUAGGGUGGCGUCCUGAGCCCCAGCGCCUCAGAAUGUGACCUUAUUUGCAAAUAGGGGCAUUGCAGAGGUGAGGUCAUCCUGGAGUAGUCCAUUAAGCCAAGAAACUGGUGUCCUUAUCAUAAGAUGGCCAUGUGAAGACAGAGACCCAGGAAGAACCUUGUGGGUGGAUGGAGGCUGAGAGAGAGGCAUCUCCAAGCCAAGGAAAGACAGAGAUCACCAGCAAACCAGGGGAGGCUUUCAGAGGGAGUAUGGCUAGAUCAACAUCUUGAUUUCACGCUUCCGGUUUCUACAACCAUGAGACAAUGAAUUUCUGUUGUUUUAAGCCAUAUAGUUUGUGGUACUUUGUUCUGGCAGCCCUAGGAAAUUAAUAGAAGUACUUUCUUUUUCUUUUUUUUUUUUUUUUGUCUUUUGUCUUUUUGUCUUUUUUUUUUUUUUUUUUUUGUUGUUGUUGUUGUUGUUGCUAUUUCUUGGGCCGCUCCCGCGGCAUGUGGAGGUUCCCAGGCUAGGGGUUGAAUCGGAGCUGUAGCCACCGGCCUACGCCAGAGGCACAGCAACGCAGGAUGCGAGCCGCGUCUGCAACCUACACCACAGCUCACGGCAACGCCGGAUCGUUAACCCACUGAGCAAGGGCAGGGACCGAACCCGCAACCUCAUGGUUCCUAGUCGGAUUCGUUAACCACUGUGCCACGACGGGAACUCCAAUAGAAGUACUUUCAAAUGAAUAAUCCUCCUCUUUCUCCUCCUCCUUCUAAAUCAUCCUCAUCUUCAUCCCUUUGCCUGAGCAAAAGAAAGGGUCUCCUCCAGAUGUGGAGACUGAUGUGCAGAGUCCAGACUCCAUGGUCACUCAGUGCCCCUCUUGCAUUGGCUCCCGGGCCUUGGGUUAGACCAUAAGUCUAGGGCUUUCUGGAGCUCCAUUGGAGAACCACCCCUAUUACCUGUUGCCUUUACACAAAGGCUGAUGCUCACCUUCUGGUUAUCUGAGCUCCAUCCAGGACUUAUUCAUGGUAGGCAGAAUUAAGAUGGUCCCAAGGAGGGGGGAUGCGCUGGGGUUUGGGAUGGAAAUACUAUAAAAUUGGGUUGUGAUGAUUGUUAUACAACUAUAAAUGUAAUAAAAUCU
rnacentral:lncRNA from 9 species